rnacentral:rRNA from 1 species
GUAGGUGGCAAGCGUUGUCCGGAAUUAUUGGGCGUAAAGCGCGCGCAGGUGGUUCUUUAAGUCUGAUGUGAAAGCCCCCGGCUCAACCGGGGAGGGUCAUUGGAAACUGGGGAACUUGAGUGCAGGAGAGGAAAGUGGAAUUCCACGUGUAGCGGUGAAAUGCGUAGAUAUGUGGAGGAACACCAGUGGCGAAGGCGACUUUCUGGCCUGUAACUGACACUGAGGCGCGAAAGCGUGGGGAGCAAACAGGGAUUAGAUACCCUGGUAGUCCACGCCGUAAACGAUGAGUGCUAAGUGUUGGGGGGGUUUCCCGUCCCUCAGUGCUGCAGCUAACGCAUUAAGCACUCCGCCUGGGGAGUACGGUCGCAAGACUG